rnacentral:rRNA from 1 species
UACGGGGGGAGCAAGCGUUGUUCGGAUUUACUGGGCGUAAAGGGCGCGUAGGCGGUCGUGACAAGUCACUUGUGAAAUCUCCGGGCUUAACUCGGAACGGUCAAGUGAUACUGUCGGACUAGAGGUACAGAAGGGGCAACUGGAAUUCUCGGUGUAGCGGUGAAAUGCGUAGAUAUCGAGAGGAACACCUGCGGCGAAGGCGGGUUGCUGGGCUGAUACUG